AUUGAACGCUGGCGGCAGGCCUAACACAUGCAAGUCGAGCGGUAGCACAGAGAGCUUGCUCUCGGGUGACGAGCGGCGGACGGGUGAGUAAUGUCUGGGAAACUGCCUGAUGGAGGGGGAUAACUACUGGAAACGGUAGCUAAUACCGCAUAACGUCGCAAGACCAAAGUGGGGGACCUUCGGGCCUCAUGCCAUCAGAUGUGCCCAGAUGGGAUUAGCUAGUAGGUGGGGUAACGGCUCACCUAGGCGACGAUCCCUAGCUGGUCUGAGAGGAUGACCAGCCACACUGGAACUGAGACACGGUCCAGACUCCUACGGGAGGCAGCAGUGGGGAAUAUUGCACAAUGGGCGCAAGCCUGAUGCAGCCAUGCCGCGUGUGUGAAGAAGGCCUUCGGGUUGUAAAGCACUUUCAGCGGGGAGGAAGGCGGUGAGGUUAAUAACCUCAUCGAUUGACGUUACCCGCAGAAGAAGCACCGGCUAACUCCGUGCCAGCAGCCGCGGUAAUACGGAGGGUGCAAGCGUUAAUCGGAAUUACUGGGCGUAAAGCGCACGCAGGCGGUCUGUCAAGUCGGAUGUGAAAUCCCCGGGCUCAACCUGGGAACUGCAUUCGAAACUGGCAGGCUAGAGUCUUGUAGAGGGGGGUAGAAUUCCAGGUGUAGCGGUGAAAUGCGUAGAGAUCUGGAGGAAUACCGGUGGCGAAGGCGGCCCCCUGGACAAAGACUGACGCUCAGGUGCGAAAGCGUGGGGAGCAAACAGGAUUAGAUACCCUGGUAGUCCACGCCGUAAACGAUGUCGAUUUGGAGGUUGUGCCCUUGAGGCGUGGCUUCCGGAGCUAACGCGUUAAAUCGACCGCCUGGGGAGUACGGCCGCAAGGUUAAAACUCAAAUGAAUUGACGGGGGCCCGCACAAGCGGUGGAGCAUGUGGUUUAAUUCGAUGCAACGCGAAGAACCUUACCUGGUCUUGACAUCCACAGAACUUUCCAGAGAUGGAUUGGUGCCUUCGGGAACUGUGAGACAGGUGCUGCAUGGCUGUCGUCAGCUCGUGUUGUGAAAUGUUGGGUUAAGUCCCGCAACGAGCGCAACCCUUAUCCUUUGUUGCCAGCGGUUAGGCCGGGAACUCAAAGGAGACUGCCAGUGAUAAACUGGAGGAAGGUGGGGAUGACGUCAAGUCAUCAUGGCCCUUACGACCAGGGCUACACACGUGCUACAAUGGCAUAUACAAAGAGAAGCGACCUCGCGAGAGCAAACGGACCACAUAAAGUAUGUCGUAGUCCGGAUUGGAGUCUGCAACUCGACUCCAUGAAGUCGGAAUCGCUAGUAAUCGUAGAUCAGAAUGCUACGGUGAAUACGUUCCCGGGCCU
rnacentral:rRNA from 1 species